rnacentral:rRNA from 1 species
CCUACGGGAGGCAGCAGUGAGGAAUAUUGGUCAAUGGGCUUACGCCUGAACCAGCCAAGUCGCGUGAGGGAAGACUGCCCUAUGGGUUGUAAACCUCUUUUGUCAGGGAGCAAUUGGCGCUACGUGUAGCGUUAUCGAGAGUACCUGAAGAAAAAGCAUCGGCUAACUCCGUGCCAGCAGCCGCGGUAAUACGGAGGGUGCGAGCGUUAUCCGGAUUUAUUGGGUUUAAAGGGUGCGAAGGCGGACUGCCAAGUCAGCGGUAAAAUCGCGGGGCUCAACCUCGCUCCGCAGUUGAAACUGGCGUUCUUGAGUGGGCGAGAGGUAUGCGGAAUGCGUGGUGUAGCGGUGAAAUGCAUAGAUAUCACGCAGAACUCCGAUUGCGAAGGCAGCAUACCGGCGCCCAACUGACGCUGAGGCACGAAAGCGUGGGUAGCGAACAGGAUUAGAUACCCGGGUAGUC